rnacentral:tRNA from 1 species
GUUCCUGUAGUUGAGAUAUGUUAACGGCGGCUUUUCAUGCCGUAAACCUUGGAGAGAAGCCAAGCAGGAAUU